rnacentral:rRNA from 1 species
AUUGAACGCUGGCGGCAUGCUUUACACAUGCAAGUCGAACGGCAGCACGGGGGCAACCCUGGUGGCGAGUGGCGAACGGGUGAGUACAACAUCGGAACGUGCCCUGUAGUGGGGGAUAGCCCGGCGAAAGCCGGAUUAAUACCGCAUACGACCUGAGGGUGAAAGCGGGGGACCGUAAGGCCUCGCGCUAUAGGAGCGGCCGAUGCCCGAUUAGCUUGUUGGUGAGGUAAAGGCUCACCAAGGCGACGAUCGGUAGCUGGUCUGAGAGGACGACCAGCCACACUGGGACUGAGACACGGCCCAGACUCCUACGGGAGGCAGCAGUGGGGAAUUUUGGACAAUGGGCGCAAGCCUGAUCCAGCCAUGCCGCGUGCGGGAAGAAGGCCUUCGGGUUGUAAACCGCUUUUGGCAGGAACGAAACGGUGCUCGCUAAUACCGAGCGCUAAUGACGGUACCUGCAGAAUAAGCACCGGCUAACUACGUGCCAGCCGCCGCAGUAACAC